AAAACAUGCAAUAUUUUGUUGAUCUAACUAAGAAGUUUAAGUUUUCAUUGAUUCUAACGUUUCUUGUUAGCGCGUGCGCAGUUUGAACCUUGAACGCAUGCGCACUUUGAUACUUCAGCUACUUCGGCUGUAUGACGCAGAUUUCAAAAAGUUGAUGCUGAUGAGGGGUGAUAUCGUGCCUGCGUGUUUCUGUUUUCGCGCACUUUUGUGUGGUUGUCGAUGCUAACGUGAAGGACGAGUGGCGUCGUGCUUGAUCGAUCCAGCUUUUCUAUAAAAUUAACGUGUUUCUGAUGUUGUGCACAUUGAGUUCUUUUCAAAGCUGACGUGCCAGAUAAAUCCAGCUUUUCUAUAAAAUCACUGGUGAGUGACAUUACCAAACAUCGUAAAACAACGGCUCUUGAGGGAUUGCUACUUUUCCUGCUUGAGAAGUCAGCAAAUUUGCUCAAGAUAUGCCUGGAUACGAAUUCUGUGAACUGCUGCACCAAAGGUGUAAAGAUUGGAAUUCUGACUGUGGAGGAAGAUGAUGUUGCCGGUGUUACAUCGCAGCCCACUGUUAUCAACAUGGCCAUAAUCUUGGAGGAGGCCAUUGUGCUUGAGGACAUUAAAGAUCUUCCAUCUGCAUUUGCAUAUUUGUUUGGCCUCUUAUAUGCAUUUAACAUGGAAUAUCUGAAAGAAUUGAAGUACACUUUUGAAGUCAUCAUGGAUCUAGGUGGUACCUGCUCAGCUAGAGUGCAGUCAUUGAAAUCCAAACUUUGCUAAAUGGAUGAAGCCACUUAAAUGACGUUCUUGCGUUGGCUUUUUUUAAAUACUUUUAUACUUAAUGACUACAAAAAACACC